GUCAUCGUAUGAUAACUAAUCGACAAUUUAUGUGGCAUUCAGCAGAAAAUCACUAAGCGAUUAGUCAUCGAUUGAGUCUGCUGAAUGCACCCAGUGUAACACUUUUACACUUUUCGUACACUUUUCAAGAACUAGUGUUACACUUAAAACAAAGGAACAGACCUAAUAUUGGUCGCGUUCACCAGAAUAAUCCGAGUGCAAUCCGAUUAAUUUGCGCUGAAACGCUGACAGUUUUUUUACUAGUGAACGACUGACGUUUGACAUUCGAUUGAGAGUGUUCUGUGUUCCAUAUUCCAUUUGUUUAUGUUUUUAUUCUUUGUUUAUAUAAUUUAUAACCUAAACCUAGACAGUUUUGUUUUUAUUUUAAAUAAAACUGAAACUGUCUAAACUAAAAUGGAUAAUAUUCUUGAAGAACUUUUGUUUGGGGACGAAAUUAGCAAAUGCCGUUAUACAUUUAGCAGAUGUACCUACCUCAAAUUAUUCCAGAAGGAUGAGAUGAAAUUAAAUAUAUAUAAACCAUAAUUCAAUAUCCAAUUUAGAGAACAUUUUCGUAUGUCCAGAACUACUUUCCAGGAACUAUUUAAUUGUAUUGGUCAUAUCCACCAAUUUGAAAACAGAAUAAUUCUAUUGAAAAAAAUUAAUGUUUAUGAUGUGGAUGCUAAGUAAACCAGAUAAUUUGUUGCUGGGGAUACGUUUGGUUUGCCAAAGAGCUCUGGACAUAAGAUUUUCACCCAAAUAAUAUAGAAUUACAAAAAAUUGGAAAUAAAUAAUCUUGAAUAUCAAUGUGUAUAUUGAGUUUAAUUUUAUUGUAAAUAUUCUAUAAUAUAAUUUUAUUGUAAAUAUUGUAUUAACACAUUUGUGGACACAUUUUCAUAUGCAGACAGUAAUUUCCCUUUGUAAGUACAUGCAUAUAUAGUCGUAUCUGCGAAUGGGUUAAUUGUAAAUCGUAAUCAAUAAAAAAUUUUUGUGAAUCAAUAAAAAACUGGUUUGUUUGAAAAUAAAUGUAGUACAAAUGUG
rnacentral:lncRNA from 1 species